AUGGAUACAUGCUUUGUAUCUCCAGGGCUCACUGCCUCAGGUAGGACUCCAUUUGUUGAGCCCUCCUGCUCCAGGUGGGCAGCCCUGAUGUCGGCCAAGCUCUACGUGCUCAUCAGCUGGCCUGAUGGCAGCCGUGUCAUCAGCAUGGAGAACAUCAAGGAGCCCCGCAAGCCCUUCCACCUCUACGCCGUGGGUGAGCAGGUGCUGGCCCGCUGCCCUGGCUUCAGUGGGCUCUACUGGGGCACUGUGGAAGGCAUAAGUGAGCAUAAAGAUACUUUGGAGAAGAAGCUGCUGGAAGAUAGACAGCUCCUGGAGAAGUUAAAAGACGAACCAGCUGUUCACAGCAUGAUGCCGCCCCAGCCAAAAAAAUCCAGGAAAACCUUCCCAAAAUGGACCCCGGUGAAUGCAUGCAGGAAACACCACGGUGACAGGACUUACUCUGGGAAUCCACUGCUGCGGACAGCUGAGCCCAUCCUGCCCUGCAGUGCUGGCAGCCCCUCCAUCACCAAGGAGAGACAUACCCUGGGGCCACCCCAUCCCACCAGCACCUUUGCUCCCCCAGCCACUUUUGUCAGCCUGGCUGUGCCAGGGACUUCCCAGGGUGAGGAGGACAGAGCUGGCACCACUACCAAAGAUUACGUUGCCCUGGCAAUGAAGAGGAAGUCAGAUGGCAUCUUGUCCCAGUGCCAGCAACACAUCUGUCUGAACAGCUGUGCAGAUGGAAAGCUAGAUGCUUUGCAAGAGACAGAUGGCUUCGAGAGAGUUCAGAAAAAAUUUGGUACCAGUGAAAUGGAAAGGGAGAAGAUAGAGCAGCUGGAGAGGAUGGUCUUGGACCUCCAGCAGGAUGUCCUCUCUCUGAAGAAGAAGGUGCAGAGGCUGGAAUCCCUGUCCCUCCAGGAGGAGCCCCACCGGCAGCCCUGCGAGGUGGUGGAGCUCUUCAAUGGCUACACCAAGGAACAGCUCCGAGAAGCAAUCCGCUUUGACCAGAAGAUCAGCACUGCCUGCAAGACGCUGCUCUACAAGCUCUUCACGUCCGACUACAUCCAGAGCCAUUCCAUUACGGGGCGCAGGGGCAACACUUUCCGAGAGGCGAAGCCCAUGAUGGAUGAGCGCUGCAUCAAAAUCAUCAGGGUGCUGCUGAAACAGAAGUUUGGGGACCACCUCAGCGACACGGUGAUCACAGAGAAGAUACAAAACGUGCAGAAAGCUCUGAGGCAGAAGUUUAAGACAGAAUGUCUCUGACACGGGGGUGAUUUGGUGUCUCUGGUCCUACCCUUCCCAUUGACGCACCUGGGCAUCCCUCCCAACAAUAUCGUGUCUGCAUUGCUGCUGCUUGGCUGAAUCCUCCUGAGGCACUGAAGAUGACACAAACCUUUCACAAACGUCUACCUGCAUUAAUCAGAGGGAAGUUUGCCCAACAUGGUUCAAGGUUUGCACAUUUGUCAGCACUUUACCAGUUCCUUCCCCUCCAGUCUGUGUGCCAACCUCAACAUUGGCUGGGUGUUGAUCCCUGGGUCUUUUUGAUGGACACACACAAAAGAUUGAGAUUUCCUGCUGGAUCCAAGCGUGGGUUGGUGAGCCAGCCUUGUUCCACCUUGCAGCAGUCAGGCAGGGAGACUGGUGAUGGGGCAGGAGCUGUAGCCCCAAGAAAGCAGCAUCUCCAUUUGGUAGCACCCAAUGUGACUUCUCCCUGCAUGGCACAGCAGUCCCCUCAUCCUGUGGACGGCACCUACUCCUUUAUGAAUGUGUCCUACAGCUUCCCACGGUAACAGAAGGGCAGGCUUAUUAACACAAUGCCAUAAAACCUUCAGAGAAGGAUUGUUUUUUUUUUUUUUUUUCCCCUCUGUUUUACUGUGGCUGCCUGGAAGAAGUGUCUGCACUAACAAAGUCUGCUGAACAAGAGAAGGUCUCCUAUGGAAGUUACACUGCAUUGAUUUUCCUUUCAAAAUUAGAUUAUCUCCAUGGAGAAAUCCUGCAUGUUUUUGUGAAUGGGGGCAAGCAAUGGGGCAAAAAGUGGCCAACUGCGGGUACACUUUUCCUUCAAAGAUCAGACACAUUGUGAUGCUGCUGUUAUAAUUUAAAUACCACAUUUGUAUCCUAGCUAAGAAAUUCCAGGUAAAAUCCGGUGUUUUUUUUUUUUUUUUUUUUGUCCUGUGUGAGAGGCUAUGAAAAAGGAGUAGAAAAAAACAUUUUCCUGAAUAGAUUAGAACUGGGUUCUGGGUGCAUUAGAAGUGUUUUUAAAAUUAAAAGAGUAACGUUCUGGCACCAGUCCACCUAACAGGAGUGCUGCAAAUUACCAAACAUUCCCUUUUAAAGAAGCUUCUCAGACAUUAAUUAUAUUUUAAUUUUGAAAUUAUUCAGAAAAGGAAAUGCCAGUUGCUUUGAGUUAAAAUGUUUGGUUUAAUUUAUAUAAUUUCCUCUGUUUUCAGUGUUUAAUAUCUUCAUGGCCACACAAGAAAUAAUAGAGCAAAAUAAAAACAGGGAGAAAGAAAUGUGUUAUUCUCA
rnacentral:lncRNA from 1 species